GAUGAAGAACGCAGCGAAAUGCGAUAAGUAAUGUGAAUUGCAGAAUUCAGUGAAUCAUCGAAUCUUUGAACGCACCUUGCGCCCUUUGGCCAUUCCGAAGGGCAUGCCUGUUUGAGUAUCAUGAACACCUCAACUCUCAUGGCUCGCCAUGAUGAGCUUGGAUUUGGGGGUCUUGCUAGCCUGUGGUCGGCUCCUCUCAAAUGGAUCAGCUUGCCAGUGUUUGGUGGCAUCACAGGUGUGAUAACUAUCUGCGCUUGUGGUUUUCCAUCAGAUAACCUUCAGUGAUGGAGGUUCGCUGGAGCUCAUAAACGUCUCCCCUAAGCGGGGACAGCCCUUUGAAUGUUUGAUCUCAAAUCAGGUAGGACUACCCGCUGAACUUAAGCAUAUCAAUAAGCGGAGGA
rnacentral:misc_RNA from 1 species